rnacentral:tRNA from 1 species
CUUUAAGUUAUAUAAACUAUCAACCUUCAAAGCUGAAAAAAUAAUACUAUAAGUCUU